rnacentral:sRNA from 1 species
UCAUCCUGGCCCUCUUGCGGUAGACCGCGCU